rnacentral:rRNA from 1 species
UACGGGGGGAGCAAGCGUUGUUCGGAUUUACUGGGCGUAAAGGGCGCGUAGGCGGCCACCGCAAGUCAGUUGUGAAAUCUCUGGGCUUAACCCAGAAAGGUCAACUGAUACUGCGGGGCUAGAGUGCAGAAGGGGCAACUGGAAUUCUCGGUGUAGCGGUGAAAUGCGUAGAUAUCGAGAGGAACACCUGCGGCGAAGGCGGGUUGCUGGGCUGACACUGACGCUGAGGUGCGAAAGCGUGGGGAGCAAACAGG